rnacentral:sRNA from 1 species
UUUCAAAAUUUUAAUGGUAUGUAUGAACUAAGAAUUUGUGUUACCAUGUUAAAAUAUUUAAAUACCGAUGCAUUUUUUGUAUAUGUGUUGUGGGCAGUGUUUUCACGCCAGACCCGGACCGCCCGGUCCGACCGGUUGAACCGUGACCCAAACACUUUUCUGGUUUGGGUUUAGUGCUAAAACCCGACAAAUUCAAACCCGAAAAAACUCACAAAAACUCAUCAAUAACCCAUGACCCGUUGAACUGGCCGGGUGUGGGUUUUAAAAUAUUCUCUUUAUUUUGGAAUAUAAUAUAGGAUUUUAGACUUUAUUCAAUCAUUUUUAUAAAAAAUUCAGUUCCUAAACUCAUUUGAUGUUUUACAUUUUGAUGAAUACUUCACAAUGCCGCCUUAAAAAAUGAAUCGAAUGGUGAGUGAGAAACCCGAUAUUAGUUGUGUAAAUUCACGAUGUUUUAUUAGUUUAUUUCCGACAUUGGUGAUCUCCUACUAUAUUUGUUAUGGUAUUAGACGUUUAGUUGGAUUUAAUAAAUUUAAUCACUUUAUUAUUUUUAUUUGAUUAUAUAUAUAUAUAUAUAUUUUUUAUUUUAUUUUGGUGUAAAUGAAUUUAUAUUUUAUUAAAU